rnacentral:lncRNA from 1 species
GAGCACUAGGACAAAGGGACUCCAUCAAAGUUUUUCACUGUCCCCAAACUUCAUAUUUACAGUCUAGCAUAGGUCCAAAGAAGUUAUCCAAAUAUAAUACCAGUUGGAAAGUUGCUCAUGUUCUCUCUCUCUCUCUCUCUCUCUCUCUCUCUCUCUCUCUCUCUCCCUCUCUCUCUCUCUCGUAUUUAUAAACUACUGUCAUAAGCUAGAGUCACCAAAAUGUCUCUUUAAAGAGAGAGCAGUCUAACAGUAAUAAAAUAAUUUAGUCUAUUUUUUAUGAAGCAAUAAUAUUUUUGAACAGCCCACUGAAUGCCUUCUAAGUUGCCUGGGUGCCUAAAGGGCUUACAACGUUCUUCCGUGGAGAUAAAUAAGCUGUCAAUUCAUGAUGAGGAAAAUCAAACCCACAGUGUUGAUCUUGGCUGAGAUGCCUGUUCAAGUAUGAGAGAAAUUGUUGCCGAGAUGUAGCUGAGCCCAUGUGUUAGCAGUUAGCACUCCAGUGCCACAAUGAGGCUCUGCUAGUCUUUUCAAAAGAUAAACAUUGCUGUCAAAAUAAGGAAAGGGAAAGAUUAACCCGUUCAGGUACACGUAAAUAAUAAAUGACAUUCCAGCUCCCUGGAGUCCUCACGAAGAAAAGAGCUAAGGUCCAGAGAGUGACUUUUAUUGGCUUACCUGAGUUUCUUUUUCUUGAUACCUUCUGGAGCCAGGGAUGGGAAGGGCAGGAGGACCCUCUAAAGUAAACAUAGCUGAAUGCUCAGUAGAGGGUGAGACUUCAAAGAGGUACAUGCCCAAAGCCCAUUGGUUUGCUGGGGGUUCUUACACUUCUCCAAUGUAACCGUGUGUCUUACACUUCUACAAUGUAACAGUGUCUCUCUGACCCUGAGCACUAAGGCCAUGCAUUUUUGGAGUACUAGCCUAAAUAAGUAAAUGAAAUAAAAU